CUUUUCCUUCUCCAUUGCAUUGAACUCUCUAUUGUCAUUUGUCAGUUCCUGUCUUUUGCUUUGUUGGGUGAUGGAGUCCUCUGAUAAAGAAAGCAUAUAUCACAUUGGUGCCUGUGAGGACAGCGAUGGGAGGGAGGAGAUCACCAUCAUUCCUACCAAUUGGAUUUCCUCAUCAGGACAAUGUUAUUGGCCCACGAGGCCGCCAAAAAAAAAUACAUCGAAAUUGAUUGCCAGGCGAAUAGAUAGAAACGAAUUUCCCGACUAUGGGUGGAUCUCCUGCAAAUAUCGCCCUCUGUACACAAAUAUCUACUCCUACCAAGACGCCUUAAGAUAUGAGAAAAAAGCAAUGGAUACAUCAGACCUCGGCACACCGGAAAGUGCAAAAAGAAAGAAGCAAAAACCUAACAGACUCGUUUCUUCUAGUUCUGAUGAAGACAACUCUCCAUACCCUAAAAUUCCUAGCCCUUUAAAGGGUUCCAAACUUCAAGGAUUGGUGAGACAGGCGCUAUUCCCUGGUGAAAACUUCCCGUCAACUUCUGCUCAGGAAGACCUUCUGAGUGGCAUCAAUCAGCUGCCACCUGUAAGAGGUGUUGAAAGAAUCCCUGAUCAAGUUGGAACCAAUAAGGUGUCACCUAUAAAAAUUUCCAAAUUAAAUUCGAAAGAAAAGUCUCCUAAAAUGUCACCUGUAAAAGGUUCCAAAAUUAACUCCAAUGAAAUGAAAUCUGACAUGUCGCCCGCAAGAGGUUCUAAAAGAACUCCAAAAGAACUUACUCCGCUGAAACCUAUUAAAAAGACCAAAAUCUUUAAAAAUAAAAAAAAACAGAAACAGGAGGAUAAUCUCACCAGUUCAAGUCAACAAUCUAAUCCACGUGAGCCUUCACCUAUUGAAGUUACACAUUCUGAACAAUUAUCUCAGCACACUCCUAACACGGUAAGAGAGAUGCCUCGUCACACUCCUAACACGGAAAAGGAGAUGCCUCGUCACACUCCUAACACGGAAAAGGAGAUGCCUCGUCACACUCCUAACACAGAAAGGGAAAUGCUUCACCAUACUCCCAACCCAGAAAUAGAGACGCAUCAGCGAAAAGAAUCUCACCCUAACAAUGAAACUCAUACUCCCAACAUAGAAACAGAGACGCAUCGGCAAAAAGAAUCUCACCCCAACAAUGGAACUCCCGGUGAUCAUGAAAAUUUAGUCCAGCAGAAUUCGGACAAAAAUUUUAAAGAACAAUGGCAAGAACUAACUAAAAGUGAACAACUUUUUUAUAUUGCAAAUUCAUUGAGAGUUAUGAAUCGGAACAUGAAAGUGGUAAUGAAAACCACCGCAUCGCAUUCCUCAGUUCUUGAAAAAUUGUGGAAAAAGUCAUAUCCAUCAACAGAAUCCCUAAUAGACCUUGUGAAAGAACUCAAUUUUUCAUUCCCGAUGCUUCACGAGAAAGAGUUCAAAGAUUUAAACAAGAAACUCUCUCCAGAAUUGGAAGAAAAGGUCAAUCCAGAUUUUGAUGAAGAUUUCCGAGAGAAACUGAUGAAUGUUCUACGCAUGCACAAUGGAACUUUACUUGUAGACUCGGUCAACAAGAUUUGUGGUUUUCUUCUACAAGAUGAACUAGCCCGCCAUUACUCCUAUGAAGGUCAUAAAGGGAAGCGUGUCUUCAAAACUUAUGCAAUUUCUGACAUUAUCCUCGAUACUCUUCAUGCCUUCCACCCAGAUAAUGACAGGCCCGAGUGCCUGAAAAAAAUGAAGUGGUGGCUAGGCCAUGCCUCAGAAAGAAUCAGAAUUAAAAACGAAAAGCGCGAGAACUUGGAAGCACUGAAUUAGAUUAAGUGAAUCAACUAUAGAAUUAGUUCAACUAAAUUAGCAAUUAGGUUGUUUCACGUAUAUUUAGAAAGGAAACCACUCUCUCUUUCUAUUGUCUUAUUCAUUCUUUUGAAAUUUUUUAUUCUGUUGUAUUUUUCUUUAGGGUGAUGUUUCUCUUACAUUACUGGACUUUACAGCAAAGUGAUCCUACUUGCCGUGCCAUACAUGUUUUGUACUUUUCAUACUUUAAAUUCCAUGCAAACAUUGUUCCUUUUAUAUUAUACAUGGAAAUCCAUGGAAUACCAAACUAUACUUUAGUUCCUUGACAUUAGUAUUAUUUUUAUCCUGUGAUUAUUAAUUAUUAGGAAGAAAAGAAAUUUUUCUCACGCUUCAUUAGAGUAGGUGAGUUAUCUUUGAAAAAGAAAAAAAACAUAUUUUAACAGGUGGCUGCAACAAAACUGAGUCUUGGUAAACAUUAACGGCUAUGUAUCUUUGUGAGCUCCUAAGUUCCAAAACUUCUAAUAAAAAUCCGGAGAAGACUGUUUCCAAAUUUGAAAUUAAUUUUGAUUUUUCACGAAAAAGUGCCUAAUGACUCAAAAUUUCUGGAAGCUCUCAGUAAUUCUUUAACAUUCCCAAUUGUUGAAAAUGAAGUAUUCCACUUUUAUGACUUGUCAGAAAGAAAAUCAGGAAAGUCGGGGAAUUUGAACGAUGAAAUUCUGUAAGACACUCUGCUUAGAAUCUUUCAAGUGACUCGUCACUCUUUUCAUUUUCUAUAUUCAUAUAAUAUAAUUUUAUAAACCUGUUUUCUUUAAUGCUGAUGCUGUGCCUCAAUACUCAUGAGUUAGAUAUUAUCAAGAGUUUUUUUCCUCACAUGCUAGUGAGCUAAAUAUAUAGAACGCAUACAGUACUCACAAAUUUCUAGUAUUAUUACAUAUUCUUUUGUUCUAUUUUGGUUGAUUUCUGAAGAUUCUUUUGCUUAUUUUUCUGAUAGGUAUUAUCACUUGAACAAUAAGUGUUUCUCACUCUCUGACUUAAGUUUUCUAUUGUUCUAUUUCGUUUAUUUUUUGUAGGUAUUGUCACCUAAACCAGUUUGUCUCCAUAAUUGGCAAAGUCUGUUUUAUUUUAUGUUUUCCAUUUUGUUUCAUUUUUCAUGUUUCUUUUGUUUGCAUUUGAGGUCUUAAUACAUUUUUUCGUUCUUGGUUUUUGAUGCCUUACAUUUUCUGAAUACCUCUAUUUUAAGCAAGCUUUUAGCACCUGCUUAAUGAUAGCCAGGAGUUUCAAAGGUGUUAACUUCUGUUAAGUAGGAAACUGUUCAGGGAUGGCAUGGACGGCAUUAACCAGAAUCAGCCUAACUACAUUGCAUGUUGCCAAUUUCUUCCUUUUUUUUUUUUUUUUUUAACUAAAAACUUAGCAAUCUUUUGCACUGAAAUUUCAUAGAGUAGGUCUACUUUAUAAUCUAGGGUAAAUUCAGAAACCGUUUUAAAGCAUCAUGUUUCAAUGUUUUUGGUUAUAUAAACAGAAAAAUGAGAGGAAAUUAGGCAGAUUCUGAUGAAUGCUGUCUAUAUAUCUGGGGCCUUGCUUCAAUUAGGCGUUAUUGUGAAGUUUAUUGUCGCAACUAGAAUUGGCUGUGAGACCAGUAAAUUUGGGGUAAGCUUACUUCCUUGACCUUAAUCGAAGCAUCCUGAAUAUGGGAUAGGAGAAGAAAAAACAUCAGAGGUAUUAUUUUGCGCUUUUUUGUAUUUUCCUGCCAUUAAAUGUUGAGGCGAAUCUCUUAAAACAUUCAAUGUGGAACUUUUUUAGAAGGUUCAUCCCUGAUAAAAAUGACCAGUAGAGCAGUGUCGAAAUGCCAGUCAAUCCGUUUCAUUUUCUUCUCAUCUUAACUAAUAAAAGUUGAGAUCAGCAGCCUGAUAGUUAAAAUUUUUUGUUUGCAUAGGUUAAAAGGCGAAGCGUGAUUGGUGGGCUAUGUGUUAUCGCUGCUUUGUCGUGCCUGUCGGGUUGAACUGACGACAAGCUAUCGGCACCUCUUAAGUUUCCGACAGUAUGUCGUCCAUUCCACCUGACAAAGGCACGACAAAGCAGCGAUAAGACAUAGCCGACCAAUCACACUCCGCCUUUUAACCUGUCAUCUAUGUCGUCCCGACAAACAACAAAUUUCAACAAUCAGGCCGCAGAAGAAAAUAAAACUGAAUAGUGUCAUUUCGACACUGCUCCGCUGGUCAUUUUUAUCAGGGUAGCCUUGAAUGUUCUUAGAACAUUCCAGCGAAUAUUCUAAAAAGGGGUGAAAAAACAAUAUUCGCGGGAAUGUUCGCAGAACAUUCUUUUCAGAAAAUUCUUGCAAAAUAUUCUUAGAACAUUCAGUCAUGAAGUUCUGUGAAUGUUCUCAGAACAUUCCAGCGAAUAUUCUCAAAAAGGGUGAAAAAACAAUAUUCUCAGAACAUUCCCGGAAUGUUCUCAGAAAGUUCCAAUUUUCUAAGGAAUAUUCUCAGAAUAUUCCGAAAAUAUUCUGUUGUCAGCAGGGUAGGGGGCAUAAAAGUUGCAGAGGGCAUCUACAAUGAUUCCUCUCCACAAAAUUUUGGUUACUUUAUCUUACUGUGCAGUUAGAGUCUCUUUAU
rnacentral:lncRNA from 1 species